UAUUGAAGAUAUGUUAUAUCAUGCUAAUGAUUUCAGAGUCUGAAAAUCAAGUAUUCUGUACAUCCUGAAGUCUUAACAGUGUAUCCUUCUGCAUGAAAGAUAACAAUCUCGACGAGGAAACUAAAUAAAAGAAGUUUAUAAACAAAGAAUAUUCAUAUUAAGGCAAAAAAGAGCAAAAAAUUGGAAUAGAUUUUUAUCAAGACUACAGAUAGAUUAAUGAUUAAUGAUAGAAGAAGGCAAUUCGGAGGACAUUGAUGGAACAAUUGUAUUGUAUUCAAUGUAUAUUUACAAUAUCAUCUGGUCAAGGUACAGCGUUGAAUAUCGACCCGUAUAGAUUUGCAUAUUAGUCUUGGUAAUGCUGCUUUGUUUGUAUACUUUGUAAGAAAAAUUUAUAUGCCUGAUGUAUAUAUUCUCUCUUGCGUGUAGGUAAGUAGAUUGGUUUUACGUGAUGUAUCUGUAUAAAAAUCUAUUGAUAAACGUCCAUCGCGAGAGAAACAUAUGUGAGAAUUGAGAACAGAUUGAUACAGAUUUUCUACUAUUUAUCAGCGAAAACGGUAGCCAUCGUACAAAUGAGAAUAAGCUCGGCUCCAUAAUCUCGCAACGCAGCACAACGUGAUACUGGGUAUAUUCUUUCUCAGUAUUGUCAAAUAAGCCAUGAUUCUUUGAAAAACGGUUUUCAAAAAACGAUUUUUUUUCUCUUUUUUAUUAAACAUGAAUUGCAUAUCGAAGAUGAUUAUUAUCUCGACUCGAGAUCAUAGAAUCCGAUUAUUGCAACGUGAUGUUGCGUUUGGGAAAUUGUUUUACACAGGUACAUGUUAUAUUCAAUGAUACUUUUCCUUCUUUUUUAGUUCGCCGAAUAAAGAACGAGCGAUAAAUAAUACAAUAACGUAUUUUCUUACAGCUUCUCACUAUCACAGUGUAGUAUAAUUCGCUAAGAAUAAUAGCAUAUCUACGAGCCCGGUGAGAGUAGUUUAACUACCGAAAUCAUGAAACUGUGCAAAAAUACCAGUUUCGCUUAUAACAAUUCGCAAUUAUAGAAAAUAUUAAUGUAAUUCAUUACAAUUAUUACGAGGAGAGAUAAUCGAGAAUCAGAUUUUUGUGUCUUCUAUAUCGUUUCAUUAAUUAUAGAGUACUGGAUAUGAUGAACUUUAUACGAAACACGAUUCUACGAAGAUGGAACAAGUUUAAAUAUUCUACUUGUAUUUCAAAGAAGGUAAAAAGAAUAUAUCAGAAAUUAUAGUACGCGCGAGUACCAAAUUCAAGGAGUAUUAUCAUUACCGUCAACAAUCUGUUUACGAUGGGUGUAAGUAUAUAUAUAGCUCUCUUUUUCAAGAUUUUAGAAAUAAUUUACAAAAUGUUAUAAAAAAGAUGAAAUGUGUGUGUGUGUGUGUGUGUGUGUAUAUAUAUAUAUAUAUAUAUAUAUA